rnacentral:rRNA from 1 species
GAUGAACGCUGGCGGCGUGCCUAAUACAUGCAAGUCGAGCGAACAGACGAGGAGCUUGCUCCUCUGACGUUAGCGGCGGACGGGUGAGUAACACGUGGAUAACCUACCUAUAAGACUGGGAUAACUUCGGGAAACCGGAGCUAAUACCGGAUAAUCUAUUGAACCGCAUGGUUCAAUAGUGAAAGACGGUUUUGCUGUCACUUAUAGCUGGAUCCGCGCCGCAUUAGCUAGUUGGUAAGGUAACGGCUUACCAAGGCAACGAUGCGUAGCCGACCUGAGAGGGUGAUCGGCCACACUGGAACGGAGACACGGUCCAGACUCCUACGGGAGGCAGCAGUAGGGAAUCUUCCGCAAUGGGCGAAAGCCUGACGGAGCAACGCCGCGUGAGUGAUGAAGGUCUUCGGAUCGUAAAACUCUGUUAUUAGGGAAGAACAAAUGUGUAAGUAACUAUGCACGUCUUGACGGUACCUAAUCAGAAAGCCACGGCUAACUACGUG